CUGCUGUUCUUUUUCUCCAUUCUGGACAGACGAGGAUAGCACACAAUUCAUUAGCCAUCAAGACAUACUUACGGAGCAGGUCCAUUGUAUACAAAUACUUUCAGUUUGUUAUGCAAACUGAAACUUUUUUUAUUAAAGUGAAAUCAUCAAUGUAGAUUUUAUUUUAGUGGCAUCAACAGACUGAAUUGAUUUGUCUUGGCUUAUUUGACCUUGAAAAGUAAGCAGUCACAAAGAAUCCAAGAAUUGAUACAAAAGACCAUAUGGAAAUAUCAAGUGCUGGAGGUGCAAGCCAAGGUGCUAGAACCAAAUACUGGGUCAUAGGAAUGAAUUGGAAUACUGCAAUGGUCCACCCUUCACAAGUGAGAUGGCAUGAGAAUUGUAAAAGAAAAUAAAAGAUUUAGCAGUUCAUCCAAAGAAGAUGAAAAGCACAGUCUUCAUCCCUUCAAAAUACCCUUCAUUCUCAUCUCUCCAGCUCCUACUCUAAUUUAAUUUUAAAGACCACUGAAAUUUUG